rnacentral:rRNA from 1 species
UACGUAGGGGGCAAGCGUUAUCCGGAUUUACUGGGUGUAAAGGGCGUGCAGCCGGGCUGACAAGUCAGAUGUGAAAUCCCGCGGCUCAACCGCGGAACUGCAUUUGAAACUGUCAGUCUUGAGUACCGGAGAGGUCAUCGGAAUUCCUUGUGUAGCGGUGAAAUGCGUAGAUAUAAGGAAGAACACCAGUGGCGAAGGCGGAUGACUGGACGGCAACUGACGGUGAGGCGCGAAAGCGUGGGGAGCAAACAGG